rnacentral:rRNA from 1 species
AUUGCCCUAGUAACGGCGAGUGAAGCGGCAACAGCUCAAAUUUGAAAUCUGGCUCUUUUAGAGUCCGAGUUGUAAUUUGCAGAGGGCGCUUUGGCUUUGGCAGCGGUCCAAGUUCCUUGGAACAGGACGUCACAGAGGGUGAGAAUCCCGUACGUGGUCGCUGGCUAUUGCCGUGUAAAGCCCCUUCGACGAGUCGAGUUGUUUGGGAAUGCAGCUCUAAAUGGGAGGUACAUUUCUUCUAAAGCUAAAUAUUGGCCAGAGACCGAUAGCGCACAAGUAGAGUGAUCGAAAGAUGAAAAGCACUUUGGAAAGAGAGUCAAACAGCACGUGAAAUUGUUGAAAGGGAAGCGCUUGCAGCCAGACUUGCUUACAGUUGCUCAUCCGGGUUUCUACCCGGUGCACUCUUCUGUAGGCAGGCCAGCAUCAGUUUGGGCGGUAGGAUAAAGGUCUCUGUCACGUACCUCCUUUCGGGGAGGCCUUAUAGGGGAGACGACAUACUACCAGCCUGGACUGAGGUCCGCGCAUCUGCUAGGAUGCUGGCGUAAUGGCUGUAAGCGGCCCGUCUUGAAACACGGACCAAGGAGUCUAACAUCUAUGCGAGUGUUUGGGUGUCAAGCCCGAGCGCGUAAUGAAAGUGAACGGAGGUGGGAACCCGCAAGGGUGCACCAUCGACCGAUCCUGAUGUCUUCGGAAGGAUUUGAGUAAGAGCAUGGCUGUUGGGACCCGAAAGAUGGUGAACUAUGCUUGAAUAGGGUGAAGCCAGAGGAAAACUCUGGUGGAGGCUCGCAGCGGUUCUGACGUGCAAAUCGAUCGUCAAAUUUGGGCAUAGGGGCGAAAGACUAAUCGAACUAUCUAGUAGCUGGUUUCCUGCCGAAAGUUUCCCCUCAGGAUAGCAGUAACGUAUUUCAGUUUUAUGAGGUAAAGC